GUGUCGUGAGAUGUUGGUUAAGUCCGCAACGAGCGCAACCCUAUUGUUAGUUGCCAUCAUUCAGUUGGCACUCUAGCGAGACUGCCGGUAAUAAACCGGAGGAAGGUGGGAUGACGUCAAAUCAUCAUGCCCCUUAUGACCUGGGCUACACACGUGCUACAAUGGUUGGUACAACGAGUUGCGAGUCGGUGACGGCGAGCUAAUCUCUUAAAGCCAAUCUCAGUUCGGAUUGUAGGCUGCAACUCGCCUACAUGAAGUCGGAAUCGCUAGUAAUCGCGGAUCAGCACGCCGCGGUGAAUACGUUCCCGGGCCUU
rnacentral:rRNA from 1 species